rnacentral:rRNA from 1 species
UACGGAGGAUGCGAGCGUUAUCCGGAUUUACUGGGCGUAAAGGGUGCGUAGGCGGUCUUUCAAGUCAGGAGUGAAAGGCUACGGCUCAACCGUAGUAAGCUCUUGAAACUGUAAGACUUGAGUACAGGAGAGGAAAGCGGAAUUACCGGUGUAGCGGUGAAAUGCGUAGAGAUCGGUAGGAACACCAGUGGCGAAGGCGGCUUUCUGGACUGAAACUGACGCUGAGGCGCGAAAGCGUGGGGAGCAAACAGGAUUAGAUACCCUGGUAGUCCCUGA